rnacentral:misc_RNA from 2 species
UAGAGUCUUGAACUCCAAACCACUGUGAACAUACCACUGUUGCUUCGGCGGGUUCCCGGCGCAGGCCGCCCCGCCGGAGGUCACAAACUCUGUUUUCUAGCGAAUCUUCUGAGUCUUGAAUAAGCAAUCA